rnacentral:lncRNA from 1 species
CUGAUAGGAAAUAUGGAGAGCAAAGAGAGAUUUAAACAGAGGGAGCAAAAAAAUGCAAGACAGAAAAAAAAAAUCUCCAUUUGUAAUUUGUAUGCUCCCGUACUCCCUCCGUCCCAGAAAGACUGCAAUUCUGGACUCGGGAGAGAAACCAAGGUGGCCGGCAAAUGAAGAAAAUCCCCUAUAAGAUGCUAGUGAUUGAAUCAGACACUGCAGUUCUGUUUUUUAAUCAUAACAAAAUAAGAACGCACACUCCAUGGAUAGAUCCACUACGGCGGCAGACCUCACCUCCCCAGCAGCCCUGCCUGCGGCAUCCGAGAUUUGAAGGAACUUUGAUGGGGAACGGGGAGGUUCGAGAGCACUCCACGGAGCGGCAGAGAUGAAAAGUGCACAAAUCUUUUACUUCUUUUUACGGGCAUGGGGUCUUUUUUACAGGAGAUGUGGAUAUUUUUUUUACGGGAGACAUAAAUAUUUGGCGUGCAGUGGUUAUAUGAAUGGGUCCCACAUAGGCCUGCUAUCCUAUCCUGUUGCCUAUAUUGGCGUUUUUUUCUGAGACAAAAUUCAAAUCGUAUGCGGUCUUUGUGGAACGGAGGGAGUAGUGCCCUGAGAAUUACCUUACAGUCUCAGGAGUCAAUUCAUUUAAAAUAUUCUGAAUAGCAUCUGGUGAAAACUUUGAUGGCACAGAU